AUGGGGUGUCACCCCCCAACUUUGGGGUGGGGGGGUAAUUAACGAGGAAGGGUUAAUGAAUGGGGAUGGAGAAGGGCAAAAGGAAGGAACCCACCGCCCUCAAGGGAACCCCAAAGCAGAAGGCAUCCCUGGGGGGUGUCUGCCCCACAGCUAUGGGGCGUCUAUGGGGUGCCCCCCCCCGGCUAUGGGGUGGGGGGUAAUUAACGAGGAAGGGUUAAUGAACGGGGAUGGAGAAGGGCAAAAGGGAGGAACCCACCGCCCUCAAGGGAACCCCAAAGCAGAAGGCAACCCUGGGGGGUGCCCCCCUCCAGCUAUGGGGCGUCUAUGGGGUGUCUGCCCCACAGCUAUGGGGCAUUUAUGGGGUGCCCCCCCAGCUAUGGGGCGUCUAUGGGGUGCCCUACCCCCCAAACUAUGGGGUAUCUAUUAUUGGGCAGCUACUGGGCAUCCAUGGAGCAUCCAUGUGGUAUCUAUGGGGCGUCUAUGGGGCAUCCAUGGGGCGGCUACGAGGCACCUAUGGGGCAGGCAUCCAUGGGGCACCUAUAGGGCAUCUAUGGCCCGGCUAAGGGUCAUCUAUGGGGCAUCUAUAGGGCACCUAUGGCAUGGCUAUGGGGCAUCCAUAGGGCGGCCAUGGGGCAUCCAUGGGGCAUCCAUGGGGCGGCCAUGGGGUGGCCAUGGGGCAUCCAUGGGGCGGCCAUGGGACGGCUAUGGGGCAUGCCAUUCCAAGCCAUGGGGCAUCCAUGUGGUAUCUAUGGGGCGGCCAUGGGGCAUCCAUGGGGCGGCCAUGGGGCAUCCAUGGGGCAUCCAUGGGGUGGCUAUGGGGUGGCUAUGGGGCGGCCAUGGGGCAUCCAUGGGGUGGCUAUGGGGCGGCUAUGGGGCAGCUAUGGGGCAUCCAUGGGGCAUCCAUGGGGCAUCCAUGGGGCGGCUAUGGGGCAUCCAUGGGGCAUCCAUGGGGCAUCCAUGGGGCAUCCAUGGGGC
rnacentral:lncRNA from 1 species